rnacentral:rRNA from 1 species
UUAAGCGACUAAGCGUACACGGUGGAUGCCCUGGCAGUCAGAGGCGAUGAAGGACGUGCUAAUCUGCGAUAAGCGCCGGUAAGGUGAUAUGAACCGUUAUAACCGGCGAUUUCCGAAUGGGGAAACCCAGUGUGACUCGUCACACUAUCAUUAACUGAAUCCAUAGGUUAAUGAGGCGAACCGGGGGAACUGAAACAUCUAAGUACCCCGAGGAAAAGAAAUCAACCGAGAUUCCCCCAGUAGCGGCGAGCGAACGGGGAGGAGCCCAGAGCCUGAAUCAGCAUGUGUGUUAGUGGAAGCGUCUGGAAAGGCGCGCGAUACAGGGUGACAGCCCCGUACACAAAAGCGCAUGUGCUGUGAGCUCGAUGAGUAGGGCGGGACACGUGGUAUCCUGUCUGAAUAUGGGGGGACCAUCCUCCAAGGCUAAAUACUCCUGACUGACCGAUAGUGAACCAGUACCGUGAGGGAAAGGCGAAAAGAACCCCGGCGAGGGGAGUGAAAAAGAACCUGAAACCGUGUACGUACAAGCAGUGGGAGCACAGGUUUACCUGUGUGACUGCGUACCUUUUGUAUAAUGGGUCAGCGACUUAUAUUCUGUAGCAAGGUUAACCGAAUAGGGGAGCCGGAGGGAAACCGAGUCUUAAUUGGGCGUUAAGUUGCAGGGUAUAGACCCGAAACCCGGUGAUCUAGCCAUGGGCAGGUUGAAGGUUGGGUAACACUAACUGGAGGACCGAACCGACUAAUGUUGAAAAAUUAGCGGAUGACCUGUGGCUGGGGGUGAAAGGCCAAUCAAACCGGGAGAUAGCUGGUUCUCCCCGAAAGCUAUUUAGGUAGCGCCUCGUGAACUCAUCUCCGGGGGUAGAGCACUGUUUCGGCUAGGGGGCCAUCCCGGCUUACCAACCCGAUGCAAACUGCGAAUACCGGAGAAUGUUAUUACGGGAGACACACGGCGGGUGCUAACGUCCGUCGUGAAGAGGGAAACAACCCAGACCGCCAGCUAAGGUCCCAAAGUCAUGGUUAAGUGGGAAACGAUGUGGGAAGGCCCAGACAGCCAGGAUGUUGGCUUAGAAGCAGCCAUCAUUUAAAGAAAGCGUAAUAGCUCACUGGUCGAGUCGGCCUGCGCGGAAGAUGUAACGGGGCUAAACCAUGCACCGAAGCUGCGGCAGCGACGCUUAUGCGUUGUUGGGUAGGGGAGCGUUCUGUAAGCCUGUGAAGGUGGCCUGUGAGGGUUGCUGGAGGUAUCAGAAGUGCGAAUGCUGACAUAAGUAACGAUAAAGCGGGUGAAAAGCCCGCUCGCCGGAAGACCAAGGGUUCCUGUCCAACGUUAAUCGGGCAGGGUGAGUCGACCCCUAAGGCGAGGCCGAAAGGCGUAGUCGAUGGGAAACGGGUUAAUAUUCCCGUACUUGGUGUUACUGCGAAGGGGGGACGGAGAAGGCUAUGUUGGCCGGGCGACGGUUGUCCCGGUUUAAGCGUGUAGGUGUGUGUUCCAGGUAAAUCCGGUUCACUUUAACACUGAGGCGUGACGACGAGGCACUACGGUGCUGAAGCAACAAAUGCCCUGCUUCCAGGAAAAGCCUCUAAGCAUCAGGUAACAUCAAAUCGUACCCCAAACCGACACAGGUGGUCAGGUAGAGAAUACCAAGGCGCUUGAGAGAACUCGGGUGAAGGAACUAGGCAAAAUGGUGCCGUAACUUCGGGAGAAGGCACGCUGACACGUAGGUGAAGUGAUUUACUCACGGAGCUGAAGUCAGUCGAAGAUACCAGCUGGCUGCAACUGUUUAUUAAAAACACAGCACUGUGCAAACACGAAAGUGGACGUAUACGGUGUGACGCCUGCCCGGUGCCGGAAGGUUAAUUGAUGGGGUCAGCGCAAGCGAAGCUCCUGAUCGAAGCCCCGGUAAACGGCGGCCGUAACUAUAACGGUCCUAAGGUAGCGAAAUUCCUUGUCGGGUAAGUUCCGACCUGCACGAAUGGCGUAAUGAUGGCCAGGCUGUCUCCACCCGAGACUCAGUGAAAUUGAACUCGCUGUGAAGAUGCAGUGUACCCGCGGCAAGACGGAAAGACCCCGUGAACCUUUACUAUAGCUUGACACUGAACAUUGAGCCUUGAUGUGUAGGAUAGGUGGGAGGCUUUGAAGUGUGGACGCCAGUCUGCAUGGAGCCGACCUUGAAAUACCACCCUUUAAUGUUUGAUGUUCUAACGUGGACCCGUAAUCCGGGUUGCGGACAGUGUCUGGUGGGUAGUUUGACUGGGGCGGUCUCCUCCUAAAGAGUAACGGAGGAGCACGAAGGUUGGCUAAUCCUGGUCGGACAUCAGGAGGUUAGUGCAAUGGCAUAAGCCAGCUUGACUGCGAGCGUGACGGCGCGAGCAGGUGCGAAAGCAGGUCAUAGUGAUCCGGUGGUUCUGAAUGGAAGGGCCAUCGCUCAACGGAUAAAAGGUACUCCGGGGAUAACAGGCUGAUACCGCCCAAGAGUUCAUAUCGACGGCGGUGUUUGGCACCUCGAUGUCGGCUCAUCACAUCCUGGGGCUGAAGUAGGUCCCAAGGGUAUGGCUGUUCGCCAUUUAAAGUGGUACGCGAGCUGGGUUUAGAACGUCGUGAGACAGUUCGGUCCCUAUCUGCCGUGGGCGCUGGAGAACUGAGGGGGGCUGCUCCUAGUACGAGAGGACCGGAGUGGACGCAUCACUGGUGUUCGGGUUGUCAUGCCAAUGGCACUGCCCGGUAGCUAAAUGCGGAAGAGAUAAGUGCUGAAAGCAUCUAAGCACGAAACUUGCCCCGAGAUGAGUUCUCCCUGAGACUUAGAGUCUCCUGAAGGAACGUUGAAGACGACGACGUUGAUAGGCCGGGUGUGUAAGCGCAGCGAUGCGUUGAGCUAACCGGUACUAAUGAACCGUGAGGCUUAACCUU